rnacentral:rRNA from 1 species
CCCUUAGAUGUUCGGGGCCGCACGCGCGCUACACUGAAGGAAUCAGCACGUCUUUCUCCUUGUCCGAAAGGACUGGGUAACCUGCUGAACCUCCUUCGUGCUAGGGAUUGGGGCUUGUAAUUCUUCCCCAUGAACGAGGAAUUCCCAGUAAGCGCGAGUCAUAAGCUCGCGUUGAUUACGUCCCUGCCCUUUGUACACACCGCCCGUCGCUACUACCGAUUGGAUGGUUUAGUGAGAUCCUCGGAUUGGUCCCGGAGCGGCCUCUGGUCGUGCCGGAGUGCCGAAAAGAAUGUCGAACUUGAUCAUCUAGAGGAAGUAAAAGUCGUAACA